rnacentral:rRNA from 1 species
AGCGAACGCUGGCGGCAGGCCUAAUACAUGCAAGUCGAGCGCCCCUUCGGGGGAGCGGCGGACGGGUGAGUAACGCGUGGGAACGUGCCCUUUGGUACGGAACAACUGAGGGAAACUUCAGCUAAUACCGUAUGUGCCCUUACGGGGGAAAGAUUUAUCGCCAUUGGAGCGGCCCGCGUUGGAUUAGGUAGUCGGUGAGGUAAAGGCUCACCAAGCCUACGAUCCAUAGCUGGUCUGAGAGGANGAUCAGCCACACUGGGACUGAGACACGGCCCAGACUCCUACGGGAGGCAGCAGUAGGGAAUCUUGCGCAAUGGGCGAAAGCCUGACGCAGCCAUGCCGCGUGAAUGAUGAAGGUCUUAGGA